rnacentral:rRNA from 1 species
AUUGAACGCUGGCGGAAUGCUUUACACAUGCAAGUCGAACGGCAGCACGGACUUCGGUCUGGUGGCGAGUGGCGAACGGGUGAGUAAUGUAUCGGAACGUGCCCAGUCGUGGGGGAUAACGUAGUGAAAAUUACGCUAAUACCGCAUACGAUCUAUGGAUGAAAGCGGGGGAUCGCAAGACCUCGCGCGAUUGGAGCGGCCGAUAUCAGAUUAGGUAGUUGGUGGGGUAAAGGCCCACCAAGCCAACGAUCUGUAGCUGGUCUGAGAGGACGACCAGCCACAGUGGAACUGCGACACAGUCCAGACUCCUACGGGAGGCAGCAGUGGGGAAUUUUGGACAAUGGGCGAAAGCCUGAUCCAGCCAUUCCGCGUGCAGGAUGAAGGCCCUCGGGUUGUAAACUGCUUUUGUACAGAACGAAAAGGUUUCUACUAAUACUAGGAGCUCAUGACGGUACUGUAAGAAUAAGCACCGGCUAACUACGUGCCAGCCGCCGCCGUAA